UGGGCUCCCCACAAACAACUUGGGCAUUUCCAUGUCCGCUGGUUCUCUGCUCUCGAGCGAGCCGAGCUGGGGGACAGAGACGACGCCCUCACCAGCUCCUCGCUCCUCCAGCACCACCGCGACCCACUCGCUGCCGACAGCAUGGUGAAGCCGUGAGGGCCGCUGGGAUCCGCACGCUGUGAGCGCGCCUACCUGGAGGUGAAGCUUGGGAGCCUGGGCCUAGCGUGUGUGAGCUCCUGGCUUCGACUCCCAGCACCGCGAGAGGAGACAGGAAGAAGCGAGGCCUCGCUUCCGCUCCCGGAGUGAGAGCCAGGAGGCUGGCGCCUGGCGUCCGCCGUGGGACAGCAGGCGCUCCCGCGCCGGUCGGCGACAGCUGCUCACCUCGAUGACCAGCUGCAGGUCGUCCAUGUACCGCUCUUCCGUCUGAAUCAGCUCAUGGAUGUAGCCCUGUCUCUUCCUCUCAGCCGGCUGCAUUGUGUCCAGGGCUUGGAGAUCGGCGCACCCUGCAGAAAGACGGGGCAGAACUUAAGAUAUUAUUGUUGCUGUUUCUGUAGAAAAGAGACAUCUCUCAGCAGAGGCGCUGGGCUGACAAAUGCUGCUUCGAGAGCACAGCGCUUCAGGAGACGACCGGCUGGCUCUCCAGGGCGCAGGCCUGGGCCGAGGUGCGUCAGCGAGCUGCUUGGCUCUUCGGAGCAGCGACGUCAGCAUGGAGGACUCUGGAAACGGCUGCCAAGCUCGCAGACUCACCGCCUCAAGGCAUUUUUGAAAUUACAGAAAUAAGUAAAUGAAUCAAACACCUGAGACCAGUGUUUUCUAAACCACAGAUCUUGAGCCAUCAGUGGGGUCACUAUCAAUUUAGUUUUUUUUUUUUUUGGUACCGGGGAUAGAACUCAGGUCCUUGCGCUUGCGCAGCAGGCAGCAGCACCACUGAGCUAAAUCCCCGGCCCUCAGUUUUUUAAAAUGCUGGUCAAGCUCAGCAUUAAAAAAAUAGUGUGUCAUUAGCACUGCUUUGAUGUGGACCACAGCUUUAAAAAAUGACUGUCACAGGGGAGAGAACUGAGCGUGGACGAUUACUUUGAGCUUCAUGGAGUCUGCACUGUACUCCGCUCUGGGUGGCGAAUCAGAAAGGUUCACAGGGAAGGCAGUUUGGGCCACUGUGCAGCGACCACAGCAAAGCGUGGACACCUGGCGGAACGGUGCUGCAGAUGAUGCUGGUGCUGUCAUGGCCAGGUGGCGGACGGACCCAACCAGGACGCUUUCUAAGGCUAGCCCACCUCUUAGCACUCCACAAACUCCACUCAUUCAUGUUCUGUGUCCAAGAUUUUUUUUGUGUGUGUGUGUCCAAGAUUUUUGACAGUUCCACCUCUACUAUCAUUUAAUUAGUAUUUUCUCUAACUUUAUUCAUGUUUGAAGUUAAAUGUGGCUGUUAUUGUUUCUUCUAAAAGUCUUCUAAAAGAGAUGUAAAUAAAUAUAAUCAAUAAAAUAAAAUGCACUGGCCUGGGGACCAUCUUGUGCACCAUGCCCUGUGUAGCCUGGGGUGCUUGUCUCACAUUUUGGGCGACAGUGAUUUACAUUAAAACUUGCAAACCCUG